GACGAACGCUGGCGGCGUGCUUAACACAUGCAAGUCGAACGGUGAAGCUCCAGCUUGCUGGAGUGGAUCAGUGGCGAACGGGUGAGUAACACGUGAGCAACCUGCCCCUGACUCUGGAAUAAGCGCUGGAAACGGCGUCUAAUACUGGAUACGAGAAGGGUCCGCAUGGGCACUUUCUGGAAAGUUUUUCGGGUGGGGAUGGGCUCGCGGCCUAUCAGCUUGUUGGUGAGGUAAUGGCUCACCAAGGCGACGACGGGUAGCCGGCCUGAGAGGGCGACCGGCCACACUGGGACUGAGACACGGCCCAGACUCCUACGGGAGGCAGCAGUGGGGAAUAUUGCACAAUGGGCGAAAGCCUGAUGCAGCGACGCCGCGUGAGGGAUGACGGCCUUCGGGUUGUAAACCUCUUUCAGCAGGGAAGAAGCGAAAGUGACGGUACCUGCAGAAGAAGCACCGGCUAACUACGUG
rnacentral:rRNA from 1 species